rnacentral:lncRNA from 1 species
AUUCAGAUGCGAAUAUAUAUUGGAUAUUAAAUUUUUAUUAUCAUAUCCAUUAAAAACUUAUUCAAAUAAAAAUAUGAUUAAAAUUUGUAUUCAAAUAUUAUUUGAAUAAUAAUAUAUAUUAAUAUGCAUAUAUCCAUAUGAACUAAAAUUAGCGUGAAAUUGAAAAAGUUUGGAACGUCGAAAGAUAAUUUUUUUAAUUAGCCGUUUAAGCAGAGUAAUAAAAAAGUCUGAAAUAUUUCAAAAGUACAUAAGCAAUUGACUUUUAAAAAGAAAAUAAUUAAAUGUGUUAUUAUAAGAAUAUUUAAUUAUUAGCUAAUGUUUAGGUUUAA